GAAAGAUUAGCUUCAGAACUGGAGACAUGGAAACAGAGAUGCAGAGUACUGCAGAACCGGAGCAAUAGUGACCAGCAGCAAAAGGACAGGGAAAGGGAAGAGGCAAAAGUGAAUGAAAACAAUAGAGAAUUAAUAAAGCUGCAAAAAGAGCUGCAGGAACGUGAGGCCAAGUAUCAAAGUGAUAGAAAAAAGUGGCAGGAGG